rnacentral:rRNA from 1 species
UGGGGAAUCUUGCGCAAUGGGCGAAAGCCUGACGCAGCAACGCCGCGUGAGCGAAGACGGCCUUCGGGUUGUAAAGCUCUGUCAGGAGGGACGAAGCCACUCGGGUGAACAGCCCAGAGGGUGUCGGUACCUCCAGAGGAAGCCCCGGCUAACUACGUGCCAGCAGCCGCGGUAAUACGUAGGGGGCGAGCGUUGUCCGGAAUCAUUGGGCGUAAAGCGCGUGUAGGCGGCUCGGCAAGUCCGGUGUGAAAGCUCGAGGCUCAACCUCGAGGCCGCAUCGGAAACUGCCUUGCUAGAGUCCGGAAGAGGAGACUGGAAUUCCUGGUGUAGCGGUGAAAUGCGCAGAUAUCAGGAAGAACACCGGUGGCGAAGGCGGGUCUCUGGGACGGUACUGACGCUGAGACGCGAAAGCGUGGGGAGCAAACAG